ACUAGGAAGGUGGGACGUUGGAGGGGUGGCCGCAUGGAGUGAGUACUGUCUCUGGCCACCGAGCAGAGCCAGUGACAGCAGCGUCCUGGUAGGCAGGCAGGCGUAUCAGGUUUCAGAGGAUGCGGCUGGGAACGGGAGUAGAGGUGAGGGGUCGUUGCAUCUGUCGCGGUGUGUAUCUUUUGGGGGUUCAGCGCCACCAGCGACUUGGGCCUCAUUCAUCGCGCUUACAUUUCUCCACCUCAUUUGAAGAACGAGCUUCGUAGCCCACGGAGCUGAGGUAUAUGAGCUCCCUGAAAGCACAAAGCAGUUAUUUCCAUCUUCAGAUCAUUCAGAGAUUAUGAAGGCACAAACCCUGCCUUCAAUUUGCUUAUAGUCAAGUGGAGCAGACACAAGUCAAUGAUUGCAGUAUAGCCACUGAAGUAAUCUAAAAGAGACUUAUCAGCAGGUUGCAGGUGAACAUGGCCUUGAGGUAAAUCUGUCCCUUGCUGAAUACAGUUUCAGUAGAUUGUUUAUAGUAGUUUCAGGAAUUGAGAUUUUUUACAAAAAUACAAAAGUUUUGCUUGGUUCUGUUCUAGAUGUUUUCUUCUAAAUAAAUGAGAAAGAUGUUUCAACAAAGGCUCUUUAUGCUGAAUAAUUGUGAUGCUUGAAGUUGCUAAUCUGCUUUAAGUGGAUUUUAAAUGUCAGGCAAUUCUAGACAGUUUUUUCUUGGUCAAAUAAAAAUUUAAUUAAAACUUUA
rnacentral:lncRNA from 1 species